AUUGAACGCUGGCGGCGUGGAUAAGACAUGCAAGUCGAACGGGAAUUCGUUAAUAGCAAUAUUCGCGAGUUCUAGUGGCGAAAGGGUGCGUAACACGUGGCUACCUACCUCGAAGUUGGGGAUAGCUCGGCGAAAGCCGGAUUAAUACCGAAUGUGACCGUAAGGUCAAAGUUGGGGAUCGUAAGACCUGACGCUUUGAGAUGGGGCUGCGGCCUAUCAGGUAGUUGGCGGGGUAAUGGCCCACCAAGCCUAAGACGGGUAGCUAGUCUGAGAGGACGACCAGCCACACUGGAACUGAGACACGGUCCAGACACCUACGGGUGGCAGCAGUCGAGGAUUUUUCUCAAUGGGGGAAACCCUGAAGGAGCGACGCCGCGUGAGGGAUGAAGGUCUUCGGAUUGUAAACCUCUGUCAUCUGGGAACAAUGCGAGUCACCUAACACGUGCCUCGUUGAUAGUACCGGAAGAGGAAGCCGUGGCUAACUCUGUGCCAGCCGCCGCCGUAAGAC
rnacentral:rRNA from 1 species